rnacentral:rRNA from 1 species
GACGAACGCUGGCGGCGUGCCUAAUACAUGCAAGUUGAGCGAUGAAGAUUGGUGCUUGCACCAAUUUGAAGAGCAGCGAACGGGUGAGUAACGCGUGGGGAAUCUGCCUUUGAGCGGGGGACAACAUUUGGAAACGAAUGCUAAUACCGCAUAACAACUUUAAACAUAAGUUUUAAGUUUGAAAGAUGCAAUUGCAUCACUCAAAGAUGAUCCCGCGUUGUAUUAGCUAGUUGGUGAGGUAAAGGCUCACCAAGGCGAUGAUACAUAGCCGACCUGAGAGGGUGGUCGGCCACAUUGGGACUGAGACACGGCCCAAACUCCUACGGGGGGCAGCAGUAGGGAAUCUUCGGCAAUGGACGAAAGUCUGACCGAGCAACGCCGCGUGAGUGAAGAAGGUUUUCGGAUCGUAAAACUCUGUUGGUAGAGAAGAACGUUGGUGAGAGUGGAAAGCUCAUCAAGUGACGGUAACUACCCAGAAAGGGACGGCUAACUACGUG